GUUAUUUUGGCAGAAUAGUGCAAUAAAUUUAGAAUUUAUUUAUGUAAAUUAGUUUACAAAUAAUA
rnacentral:tRNA from 1 species